GUGAGCUUAUUCAUCCAAUAAACCAGUAAAACUGAAUCAAGCAAGAUCCCUUCACAUGUAAACUUGGACAUGCAGCGGAAAAAUCAUGCUGCAAGUACUCAUCAAGGAAUAGUCAUAAAUAUAUUCUCACAAUAUCCAAUCUAAUUCCAAGAUAGAUGGUGUUAAAAAGAGAAAAAAAUCAAGUCCACACAGUAGAGAAUAUAUGCCUCGAGUAAACAUGUGAACAAUCCAAAUUUAAAAUGAAUAUCUUGAUUAUAUAACAUAUUAUUUUGUUUCUGCAAAAACGAAACUGAAGAGGUUAGUAUACAAAUAUACAAUAAACAAACGUACUUGCCAAAAUUCUUAAAGAUAUUUCUACAGCCUAUGCUCUGCUUCUUUCCUCCUUCUACUAAUGCCUUCACCCACUUUUUCUCCCACUAUCCAAACCUAAAUAAAUGAAGCAAGCUGAAGAACACUAAAAGAGAAAAUAAAAAAAAA
rnacentral:lncRNA from 1 species